UACGGAGGGGGGCUAGCGUUGUUCGGAAUUACUGGGCGUAAAGCGUACGUAGGCGGCUUUUGUAAGUUUAGAGGUGAAAGCCCGGGGGCUCAACUCCGGAAUUGCCUUUAAGACUGCAUCGCUUGAAUCAUGGAGAGGUGAGUGGAAUUCCGAGUGUAGAGGUGAAAUUCGUAGAUAUUCGGAAGAACACCAGUGGCGAAGGCGACUCACUGGACAUGUAUUGACGCUGAGGUACGAAAAGCGUGGGGGAGCAAACAGG
rnacentral:rRNA from 1 species